rnacentral:rRNA from 1 species
GGACCCGCACAAGCGGUGGAGCAUGUGGUUUAAUUCGAUGCAACGCGAAAAACCUUACCUACUCUUGACAUACUUGGAAGCUCUUGUAAUGAGAGUGUGCCUUUUGGAACCAAGAUACAGGUGCUGCAUGGCUGUCGUCAGCUCGUGUCGUGAGAUGUUCCGUUAAGUCGGAUAACGAGCGCAACCCUUACCCUUAUUUGCCAGCGAUUCGGUCGGGAACUAUAAGGGGACUGCCGGUGAUAAACCGGAGGAAGGUGAGGACGACGUCAAGUCAUCAUGGCCCUUACGAGUAGGGCUACACACGUGCUACAAUGGGGAAUACAGACGGACGCUAAGCCGCGAGGUGGUGCUAAUCCCCAAAAGCCGUCCCAGUUCGGAUUGUACUCUGCAACUCGAGUGCAUGAAGUUGGAAUC